rnacentral:rRNA from 1 species
AGUGAACGCUGGCGGCGCGCCUAAUACAUGCAAGUCGAGCGAGAAGGUGUAGCAAUACACUUGUAAAGCGGCGAACGGGUGAGGAAUGCAUGGGUAACCUACCCUCGAGUGGGGAAUAACUAGCCGAAAGGUUAGCUAAUACCGCAUACGUUUCCGGAACUUCGGUUUCGGAAAGAAAGCAAUACCGUGGGUAUUGCGCUCCUGGAUGGGCUCAUGUCCUAUCAGCUUGUUGGUGAGGUAACGGCUCACCAAGGCUUCGACGGGUAGCUGGUCUGAGAGGACGAUCAGCCACACUGGCACUGCGACACGGGCCAGACUCUACGGAGGCAGCAGUAGGAAUAUUGCGCAA